AUGUAGCAUUAUAAGUUUAGUAAUUCAUGAAUGACUUCUUCUGGAGGGAGUUAUCUGGUACUUUGCUCAUGUGAGUUAUGGUCAGAGAAAAUGGAUCAGGACAUGUGAAAAGAGUAAUCCGUAGUAAGGGGCAAUCGAGAGGUGGCAACAAUGCAGGGAGCACGCAAGAACCGAAGGAUGCAGAGAAGGAAAAUGUACCCAAGCCAGUAGUAAAAACAGUACGGAGACCCAGCAAUGCUGGAUCAAACCUGAAUGAAAAGAGAACUUUAGCACGUCAACAAAGUAAGGGAAAACAAGAAGAUGGAACACAGCUGAAAAAAGAAAAGUCAGUGCUGAGAAAAAGAGCCAAUAAUUAUGUAAGAAGGGGACAGAAAGACCAAAGAAGUGACAGAUUUGCUAGGCAUGCGUACGCUUUUCUUGACAGGGUAAAGCUAGAACAGGUGUUGGGUGUGAGCGCUACAAGUAAUAACUCCUUGUCAUAUGAUCCCAAUACGGAGAAUAUCUUGUACACUGCAGGGUGUGUAUGUGUACUGUACAAUAUAAAGAAGAGCAAGCAGACCCACAUAAAGAACGUAUCCAAGAAACCGCUGACUUGUGCAGCUUUCUCUAGAGAUGGAGCCUAUGUUGUUACCGGAGAGAGUGGUCACCAGCCGUGUGUAAGAGUGUGGGACGCAAACUCACAAGUACAAAUCAAGGAGCUCAGAGGUCAUCGGUUCGGAAUAUCAUCCGUUAACUUCUCUCCUAACGGAAAAGUGGUCGUAUCUGUCGGCUUUACUCACGACUCUAAUGUCUCUGUUUGGAAUUGGAAGACUGGAAAACAAGUGGCAGGAAACAAAGUAUCAAGUCGAGUAUUUGGGAUGAGCUUUAACGAGAAGGGUACCUACUUCGUAACAGUGGGGAUACGGUUCGUUAAGUUCUGGUACUUCAACUCAAACGACGACAAGGCCCUCAAUCAGCUGAGUCCGUGUGAGAAUAGAGCUGCUAUACUUGACAACCACCGCAACACCACCUUUAAAUCUGUUAUCUGUGGUAAAGGACAAUUCUCUCAUCUAACGUUUUGUUUGUCGAACGAGGGAAGCUUGUACAGUUUUGGAGAGAGUAGACGAGUGGAACGUUGGCUGGACUUGAAGGUGAACGACGCGUUUGCACUGUACGUGACAAACGACCACCUGCUAUGUGGGUGUAGUGACGGCGUGGUGAGGGUAUUUGAACCUGCCUCACUUACCCACAUUGUUAACCUCCCUAAACCUCACCCUCUCGGCGUGGACCUCGCUUCUUGUACCUCACCCAGUUGUAUGGUAUCAGUGUUACCCUCAUCUGAGUUCCCUGACUGUAUUGGGGUGGUCGCUGAUUCACUCACCUCCAAGGUGAUAGUGUUAUACAGAGAUAAGAGCUUGUACAUCUGGGAUAUCGCUAAUAUACACAGGGUGGGGAAGUACAGAUCAUAUCUCUUCCACAGCGCCUGUAUCUGCGCUAUUGAGGUUUACCCUCAAGAGUCAGAAAACUCCACGAUGAGUCUACCUAAAGGAACGUUCAUAACGGGUUCCUCAGAUAACACCAUAAAGAUAUGGAACUUGAACACUCUUGAUCCUGAGGAGCAAGUGAAAACAAAGAGAAAUAUCUAUUCGAAGGAGUUGUUGUCCCAGAUCUACACAACUGAUGACUUCUCGUGGUUGAGAGCGCGGAGAGGGAACGCUGUUAGUGACAACGCGAGCGGGAUCACGGCGCUCGCGAUCAGUCCUCGUGGAGACGUGGUCGCAAGUGGGGAUAAAAGUGGUAAUAUCAGAGUAUACGACCUAGAAGACCUGUCCUGCAGGGAGCUAGCCAUGAUAAUCGGACACGAAGCCGAGAUCUUAUCUCUCUCCUUUACGAGACCUGACAAUUACUGGCACUAUCUGGUGUCUGCCAGUAGAGACCGGCUUAUACACGUGUUUGAUGUGAGGAAGGGGUAUGAGUUGGUCCAGACGAUCUGUGAUCACUCAGCUAUUGUUACCAGUGUUAAGUUUGUGGAAAAACCCAACGAUUCCCAGCUGACACUGCUGUCCUGCUCAGCGGAUAAAAGUGUCCGGUUUCGGACCGGUUUUAAAACUGGCAGUCAUCAACUUCAGUUCCAAACAUACCAGCAUGUCCAAGAGAAGUCUACCUUUAAUGACAUGGAAAUCCCACAAUCCAGGGACCGAGUCAUAACGGGCUGUCAGGAUCGACAAAUAAGAACAUACGAUUUGUCGUCUGGCAAGCUACUGAACAGUUUUAAGAGCGGUAGUUCUGAAGACGGUGGAAUGAUAACUAACGUAGCCCUGGAUCCUUCCAGUACUUACCUAGCUGCAGCGGGGAAUGAUAAGAGCAUAUUCGUGCAUGAUCUUCAGAGUGGAGAUAGGCUGGCUAGCUUGCACGGUCAUUCAGAGAUGAUCACCGGUUUAAAGUUUACAAACGACUGUAAACGGCUGAUCUCAAUUUCUGGUGAUGGCUGUAUAUUUGUUUGGAGACUCAGUAACGAGGUGGUAAAGAACAUCAGGACCAAAAUGAGAGGUCAGGGCUUCGAACCGGAGAUAAGCGCUGAAACUCCCAUUCCUAAUAAAAAAGGAGAGGCCCCUACCUCCCCUCACUGUGAAUAUGCUAUUCCCAUCAUGGACCUUAUUAGUGACACCAAAACAUCUGAAGCGUCUGAGAGUCAACUAGCAGACACUUCAACUACCGAACAAUCUACCCCGGAAAAGAAGCGGAAGCAGUGGGCCAAACCUUCCAACCUCAACUUCCUGGACGAGAUAACCCCCAAUGAGGCUAUGACCCCUUGUACUCCAGCAAACCCAGCAGCUAAGAGAACAGCUCCGGACGGAGGUGAACACGUUCAUCCUGACCUGAUGUCAUUCGAGAGCCCCAAGAUCCCAGCAGAAGCAGAACCACAGGAACCACUUGUAACAGAGGAGGAGGUCACAGUGGAGGUCCAGGGUGGCGAGGUAGGGUUUGAAGAGGAAGAAGAGGAGGAGGAGGAUGAAGCUAGUGCUGAGGAUGAUUCAGAGCCUGUCAUUAUCUACGCUCCUGCUAAAGUCUUCUCUCCCAACGCUAAGAAGAGGCUAAGCGCGAUUUUCGACGUGAACGUGACACCCCAAAAAGCAAGAACCACCAGUGAGAACACUGAACUGACUGAUGAGGACGAGGAUGAUCAGGAUACCACGUUUCAAGGUGAACUUGACGAUGUUGAGGAGGAAGAAAUUAAGUCUGACUCUUUCCUCAAACACAAGUUCUCUGAGAUUGACGAGGAAUUUGACGACCUCGACCUGGACCUGCCAAGCGACAGUUUGAGUCCUAACUCCAGACACAGACAGAGCAUUUCUAGGAAGUUCUACAAAUCUAGCACCCCUGAGAAAUUAAAAGCUAAUAUUAACGGACAUCCUGAGACUCCUCGAUCAAAGGGCUCAUCUCCGCUCAGUAACCCAGGAUCUCCCGACCGAGUCAGGCAAGCUGUCGAGAACAAGAUUCUAGCCAAAAAGAAGGAGAAGUUCAGCGCCAACUCCGAGUUGAUCCAACAUGCUCAAAGCCGGGAGUUCCUCACCUUCCUGUUACAAUCCAGGAACUCCCCUCUGAUCGGAGAGGUUCCCUGUCCAGCACCGAUUCAGCUGCUUUUAAAUCAGCCUCCGCGGGGUCAUGUGACAACGAUGAUUUCGUUAUUCGUCGCAGAUCCUCGGUGUCUGUGAAAUCUCUGAAGGUAGAAUUGGCCAAGAUUGACGACAAUACUUCGUCUAGUUCGGUAGAGUACCUCAAAUCGGAUACGGAAAUCUCCUCUGGUAAGAACAUGGCGGCCCUGGCCAAAACUGCUUCUGAAUCAACUGGAGCAUCAUCUGACAGGAGUUUCAGCAAGUCUGCGAAAGAUGAUAAGAAAGCCGCUGGUAAAGUAAAGGGGAAGAACAAGUUAAAGUUAGCAUUUGGAGGCAAGACUAAGGAAGAAAAGAAAGAGAUAAAAAAGGAGGAGAAACUUGAGAAAGCUGCUGCGAAGAAAACAAAGAAAGAAGCAGCAGCACCUAAGAAAGAAGUAGCAGGUCCGAAAAAAGAUACUCCUGAUCAGAUAACGUCCCUUCACACGGCUUUCAAAGAUUCGCUCUCGAAAUACGAUGAGAUUUUAGCAGAGAAGCCGUCAGCAAGUAGAGAUGAUCAGCUGUCUAAGUUAAACCUUGUUUACAAGGAUAUGUUAGCAGACCUUCAGAGACGACUCAAAUCCUCUGAUAACAUGGCGUCAGCAGGAGGAGCAAGCGAGGACCUGAACAACACUCCCGCUGAGCAUCACGCCGCUAAAUGUGCUGAAAUAUGCGCUGAAAAGAUCCUAGAGUUGGUGCAACAGAAAUUACAAAACGGUAACCUGGUGUGACAACCCGAUGAAUUUGUUCUGUUAAGAUUUGAAGGACGAGACUGGGGUGGCGAGGGUGAAGUUAUUUUGCGCGCGAAAAUGAUUUUCAAAUGAGCUUGAAGUAGAUAAGAGAGUCAGAGACCAGCACCAAGUUGAUGAAUCUCUUGGCAGUUGUUGAGUUGUCACCUUUUUUUCUUUCUCGCCAGCCGGAGUUAAGUUUGUCCAAUGUAUGUGCUUUGUCGUGGCAAUGGCAUUUGAGAUGUAAAUAUUUAAAUAAGCCUUAUGCUGAUGUUAUGUUGUAUAUUUCCAUUCACUAUGGGAAAAUGUUCAAUAAAAGUGGACAUCUGAAAAUAAAAUGAACGUUUUCGAGGAAAUGCAUUCUUCAUUUCAAUUUGAUUACGUUUCAUUUUACGUUAUAUGUCGUGCAACUUUUUACUAAUGAGCUUCGUAAAUUUUUAAUUUGAUUUCUUUUUACUAUUUGAUAUGUGAACUUGUGACCAUGUUUUUAUUUGCUGCAAAAUAAUCCGUAGCAUAUACCUAAAGACGGUUUCAACCAAGGGUGAUAUGAAGGAUUUACGGGUGUUUAUUUAUAGUAUGAUUAAUAUAAUUUUACUCAGAAAGGUUUUGGCUCUCCACACCUGACUAGAAAAUUACUAAGAACUUUUACAUACUCCAAUGAAGUUGUUAUAUUACCCUAUAUAAUAUUAUUUCGAUUUGAAUACUUUGUGUGAUGUUUUAAGAAUACAACUAGUUUUGGCAAUGAAUUGUUGGUAUUGAAUAACUAGAGUUUUGUUUUCGAUAAAUUUUCUGUAAUGAUUUGAAUGAAUAUCUUACUCACUAACAAAA